rnacentral:rRNA from 1 species
CCUACGGGUGGCAGCAGUGAGGAAUAUUGGUCAAUGGACGAGAGUCUGAACCAGCCAAGUAGCGUGAAGGAUGACUGCCCUAUGGGUUGUAAACUUCUUUUAUAUGGGAAUAAAAUGUUCCACGUGUGGGAUUUUGUAUGUACCAUAUGAAUAAGGAUCGGCUAACUCCGUGCCAGAAGCCGCGGUAAUAGGGAGGAUCCGAGCGUUAUCCGGAUUGAUUGGGUUUAAAGGGUGCGCAGGGGGCCGGUUCAGUCAGCGGUAAAAGCCCGGGGCUGAACCCGGGCGAGGCGUUGAAACUGGCGGGCUGGAGUUGGAGAGAGGUGCGCGGAAUGCGGGGGGGAGCGGUGAAAUGCGUAGAGAUCGCGCAGAACCCCGAUUGCGAAGGCAGCGGACCGGCUCCACACUGACGCUGAGGCGCGAAAGCGUGGGUAUCGAACAGGAUUAGAUACCCCAGUAGUC